rnacentral:rRNA from 1 species
CGGGGCUCAACGUCUUGUAAUUGGAAUGAUGGGAAUUUAAACCUCUUCCAGAGUAUCAAUUGGAGGGCAAGUCUGGUGCCAGCAGCCGCGGUAAUUCCAGCUCCAAUAGCGUAUAUUAAAAUUGUUGCAGUUAAAAAGCUCGUAGUUGAAUUUCUGCUGCAUUGCUCCUGCUCCUUUCGAGCUCGUGCAUUGUGGCUUAUUUCGGACUGCGUUCUCGCUGUCCGGAUGAUUACUUUGAGAAAAUUAGAGUGCUCAAAGCAGGCUUUUGCCUUGAAUAGUUUAGCAUGGAAUAAUAAAGUAGGACUUUGGUUCUAUUUUGUUGGUUUUAGGUACCAAAGUAAUGGUUAAUAGGAACAGUUGGGGGCAUUCGUAUUUAACUGUCAGAGGUGAAAUUCUUAGAUUUGUUAAAGACGAACUACUGCGAAAGCAUUUGCCAAGGAUGUUUUCAUUAAUCAAGAAC